AUCAAAAUUAUUUUAAAGGCAGACAGAGUCAUUGACAAAAGGGUUUUAGGCCUAUCUCACAACGAGUGUGUUGUAGACAGACGUGUCUGGGUCACCUGUAGUAUUUUCUCAAGUUGCAUAUCCUGUGUCUCCUGAAAAUUCACAGGCCAACUUUGGAUAAAUGCAGUAGACUGAGUGGCCAGAGAAAGCAACGGUCACUGACUUGCCUUGGUUAUACGUGUGGUAUUUCUCCGUUUGUGCGCACCUUUAUAGGCGCGUACACUCCUUGCAUACAGAUACAGAUAACUGGAAUGGGUAGUGUUCAGAGUAAAGGGGAGAUGGGUGAAAACCAUGAGACUAAUAUCCUGCCACUAUUGUGUAAAUUUAUGUCAGAGCGUUAUCCUGGCAGUUUGAAUUAAAUACAAAAAUGGGUUGAAUUGGGGUUUCCUUCAAAGGGGAGUUUGAGUAAGAAUCAAUUGGAGCAGUUGGAAUUGCAACUGAGGGGGAAGGAGAAGAACGAUGCAGCUCAGCAUGCAGGCCUGUCGAGAAGAAAGCAGAAAAAGAAUGUGGUAUGUAAGGCAGAUUGGGAAGCUUUCAAGAUGUGGAAGUAUGAGUCGGAGAGAAGGGAGAGACAGAGUUCCUGAGGAGAUUGGUGGACACGGAUCUGGACUCCCCCCCUCCCCUCACUGCUCCUCCAGCUCCCGCCUUCAUGAGCCCGCAGUCUCCACGGCAGGAAGCAGCACAAACAACCUUUCCUCGGCUUGACAACAGCCCACCAGGAGGGAAGCCAGAUUCAACCUCCA
ensembl:lncRNA